UGGGGAAUAUUGCGCAAUGGGCGAAAGCCUGACGCAGCAACGCCGCGUGAGUGAUGAAGGCCUUCGGGUCGUAAAGCUCUGUCGGAGGGAACGAAUGCUCCUGAAGUUAACAGCCUCAGGAGGUGACGGUACCCUCAAAGGAAGCACCGGCUAACUCUGUGCCAGCAGCCGCGGUAAUACAGAGGGUGCAAGCGUUGUUCGGAUUUACUGGGCGUAAAGGGCGCGUAGGCGGUGUGUCAAGUCAGUUGUGAAAUCUCCGAGCUUAACUCGGAACGGUCAACUGAUACUGUCACACUAGAGUACAGAAGGGGCAAUCGGAAUUCUUGGUGUAGCGGUGAAAUGCGUAGAUAUCAAGAGGAACACCUGAGGCGAAGGCGGGUUGCUGGGCUGAUACUGACGCUGAGGCGCGAAAGCUAGGGUAGCAAACGGGAUUAGAUACCCGUGUAGUCCCUGAGCGGGCUGGCAAGGCGCAU
rnacentral:rRNA from 1 species